rnacentral:rRNA from 1 species
UACGUAGGCAGCAAGCGUUGUUCGGAAUUACUGGGCGUAAAGAGUGUGUAGGCGGUGUUCUAAGUUCGGUGUGAAAUCUCCUGGCUCAACUGGGAGGGUGCGCCGAAAACUGGGAUGCUCGAGCGUGGGAGAGGAAAGCGGAAUUCCUGGUGUAGCGGUGAAAUGCGUAGAUAUCAGGAGGAACACCUGCGGUGUAGACGGCUUACUGGACCACGACUGACACUGAAACUCGAAAGUGUGGGGAGCAAACAGGG